AUCCAGCUGAGGAGUUCCAGACGGGACGGAACGCGCGUCCUGGAU
rnacentral:hammerhead_ribozyme from 1 species